rfam:Ornithorhynchus anatinus chromosome 1, whole genome shotgun sequence.
CCCCUCUCAGGGUCACACCUGGAGAGUUUCCAGUGCUCUACCAGUCUCGACUAUGGAAGGGAGAGUCAAACAGAGGCAUAUCCAUUCCAUUCUUAGCUUGGACAGUAGCUAACCACUGGAAGACAACCUGCUACAAGU